GAAAUGCGAUAAGUAAUGUGAAUUGCAGAAUUCAGUGAAUCAUCGAAUCUUUGAACGCACCUUGCGCUCCUUGGUAUUCCUUGGAGCAUGCCUGUUUGAGUAUCAUGAAAUCUUCAAAGUAAAUCUUUUGUUAACUCAAUUGGUUUCUACUUUGGUAUUGGAGGUCUUUGCAGCUUCACACCUGCUCCUCUUUGUUCAUUAGCUGGAUCUCAGUGUUAUGCUUGGUUCCACUCGGCGUGAUAAGUUAUCUAUCGCUGAGGACACUGUAAAAGGUGGCCAAGGUAAAUGCAGAUGAACCGCUUCUAAUAGUCCAUUGACUUGGACAAUACUUUUAUGAUCUGAUCUCAAAUCAGGUAGGACUACCCGAUGAACUUAAGC
rnacentral:misc_RNA from 1 species